rnacentral:rRNA from 1 species
AACGAACGCUGGCGGCGUGCUUAACACAUGCAAGUCGAACGUGAAAGGCUUCGGCCGAGUAAAGUGGCGCACGGGUGAGUAACGCGUGGGUAAUCUGCCCUUGGGCGGGGGAUAACCUCUCGAAAGGGGGGCUAAUACCGCAUGAGACCACGGCUUUUCGGGGCUGUGGGAAAAGGUGGGUCGCAAGGCCUGCCACCUGAGGAUGAGCCCGCGUACCAUUAGGUUGUUGGUGGGGUAAUGGCCUACCAAGCCGAAGAUGGUUAGCUGGUCUGAGAGGACGAUCAGCCACACUGGGACUGAGACACGGCCCAGACUCCUACGGGAGGCAGCAGUGGGGAAUAUUGCGCAAUGGGGGAAACCCUGACGCAGCAACGCCGCGUGUGUGAAGAAGGCCUUCGGGUCGUAAAGCACUGUUGGAGGAACGAGCCGCUCGUGGGGAAGUAUCUGCGAGCCCGACGGUACCUCCUGAGGAAGCACCGGCUAACUCCGUGCCAGCAGCCGCGGUAAAGUGUG